AAUGCAUUGUUGCAUCCUUCACCAACAUAUGAUGAAGUUAAAAGAGGUUUGGAACUUUUGUUGUCUUCGUUUCUUUAAAAAAUAGCGAUUUUAUAGUGUUUAGUCCACCAAUUUAGGUAGUAUUAUGAAGUUUUACUAAGUUAAUUGACAAAAAAAUUAAAACGAUGCCCAUGUACCAUGAAAGAGAGUUUAAUAUACAUUAAUACAAAUGUAGAAUGUGUUUAGAAAUUUUAAAACAACACUAAAGAUCAUAGGCUUCAGUAUAUAGAACAUUUACCGAAAAUUCAAUAUUUUCGUAGGGGUUAACACAUAGAUUUUGAGAAAAUUUCAAAAAAUAUGAAAAUAUUGUUUUAAUGCAUUGUUGCAUCCUUCGCCAACAUAUGACGAAUUUCAAAGAGGUUUGGAACUUUUGUUGUCUUCCUUUCUCUAAAAAAUAGCGAUUUUAUAGUGCUUAGUCCACCAAUUUAGGGAGUAUUACGAAGUUUUACUAAGUUAAUUGACAAAAAAUAAAACGAUGCCCAUAUACCAUGAAAGAGAGAUAAAUAUAGAUUAAUACAAAAGUAGAAUGUGUUUAGAAAUUUUAAAACAACACUAAAGAUCAUAGGCUUCAGUAUAUAGAGCAUUUACCGAAAAUUCAAUAUUUUCAUAGGGGUUACACAUAGAUUUUGAGAAAAAUUCAAUAAAUAUGAAAAUAUUGUUUAAUGCAUAUUUGAAUCCUUCACCAACAUAUGAUGAAGUUCAAAGAGGUUUGGAACUUUGAUUGUCUUCGUUUCUCUAAAAAAUAGUAAUAGUGCUUAGUCCGCCAAUUAAAGUAGUAUUAUGAAUUUUACUAAGUUAAUUGAUAAAAAAUUAAAACGAUGCCCAUGUACCAUGAAAGAGAGUUUAAUAUUCAUUAAUACAAAUGUAUAAUGUGUUUAGAAAUUUUAAAACAAUACUAAAGAUCAUAGGCUUCAGUCUAUAGAACAUUUACCGAAAAUUCAAUAUUUCCGUAGGGGUUAACACAUAGAUUUUGAGAAAAAUUCAAAAAAUAUGAAAAUAUUGUUUUAAUGCAUAGUUGCAUCCUUCACCAACAUAUGACGAAGUUCAAAGAGGUUUGGAACUUUGUUUUCUUCCUUUCUCUAAAAAAUAGCGAUUUUAUAAUGCUUAGUCCACAAAUUUAAGAAGUAUUACGAAGUUUUUCUAAAUUAAUUGACAAACUCUUAAAACGAUGUCCAUGUACCAUGAAAGAGAGAUUAAUAUACAUUAAUACAAAUGUAGAAUGUGUUUAGAAAUUUUAAAACAACACUAAAGAUCAUAGACUUCAGUAUAUAGAGCAUUUACCGAAAAUUCAAUAUUUUCGCAGGGGUUAACACGUAGAUUUUGA